UACAGAGGUCCCAAGCGUUGUUCGGAUUCAUUGGGCGUAAAGGGUGUGUAGGUGGCGCCGUAAGUCGGGUGUGAAAUUUCGGAGCUUAACUCCGAAAAUGCAUUCGAUACUGCGGUGAUUGAGGACUGGAGAGGAGAAUGGAAUUCAUGGUGUAGCAGUGAAAUGCGUAGAGAUCAUGAGGAAGAAAAGUGGAGAAGGAGGGUAUCUGGACAGUUCCUGACAAUGAGAAACGAAGGACAGGGGAGCAAACGGG
rnacentral:rRNA from 1 species